rnacentral:rRNA from 1 species
UACAGAGGUGGCAAGCGUUGUUCGGAAUUACUGGGCGUAAAGGGCGCGUAGGCGGUCCCAUAAGUCCUGUGUGAAAUCCCCCGGCUCAACUGGGGAAUUGCACGGGAAACUGCGGGGCUUGAGUUCGGGAGAGGGAAGCGGAAUUCCGGGUGUAGCGGUGAAAUGCGUAGAUAUCCGGAGGAACACCGGUGGCGAAGGCGGCUUCCUGGACCGACACUGACGCUGAGGCGCGAAAGCGUGGGGAGCAAACAGG